UAUGGUUGUUUUCCUGAUUAUAUAUCUAUUGUUCCUUGAAAAUAUUUUCUGCAACAUCUUUCCAUUCAGCCAAAAGCAAAAUUGCCUAUUCAUGUCCUGCCCAGAAGUCAAAGUAGCAGAAGAUUCCACUUCUGAGCAUUAUGAUCCCUCAGCUCACAGAGCCUAACAUGGCAGAGAUAGAAGACGCAGCUUCUCCAAGUCAGUGAAUGGGAGUAAUGAUCCGUGGCAGUAUACAUGCACACCUCAGAGAAAUGGCAGGUUUGGCUCCAGACCACUGCAAUAAAGUGCAUAUUACAAUAAAGUAAGUCACACAAAUGUUUUAGUUCUCCA
rnacentral:lncRNA from 10 species